AUUGAACGCUGGCGGCAUGCUUUACACAUGCAAGUCGGACGGCAGCACAGAGAAGCUUGCUUCUUGGGUGGCGAGUGGCGAACGGGUGAGUAACAUAUCGGAACGUACCGAGCAGUGGGGGAUAACUAAUCGAAAGAUUAGCUAAUACCGCAUAUCUUCUGAGGAAGAAAGCAGGGGACCAUUUGGCCUUGCGCUGUUUGAGCGGCCGCUAUCUGAUUAGCUAGUUGGUGGGGUAAAGGCCUACCAAGGCGACGAUCAGUAGCGGGUCUGAGAGGAUGAUCCGCCACACUGGGACUGAGACACGGCCCAGACUCCUACGGGAGGCAGCAGUGGGGAAUUUUGGACAAUGGGCGCAAGCCUGAUCCAGCCAUGCCGCGUGUCUGAAGAAGGCCUUCGGGUUGUAAAGGACUUUUGUCAGGGAAGAAAAGGGCGGGGUUAAUACCCCUGUCUGAUGACGGUACCUGAAGAAUAAGCACCGGCUAACUACGUG
rnacentral:rRNA from 1 species